UACGUAGGGGGCAAGCGUUAUCCGGAUUUACUGGGCGUAAAGCGCGUGUAGGCGGUUGCGCAAGUUGGGUGUGAAAUCUCCCGGCUCAACCGGGAAACUGCAGCCAAAACUGCGCGGCUAGAGUGGCAGAGAGGAAAGUGGAAUUCCCGGUGUAGUAGUGAAAUGCGUAGAUAUCAGGAGGAACACCUGCGGUGUAGACGGCUUACUGGACCAUAACUGACGCUGAGGCACGAAAGCGUGGGUAGCAAACAGG
rnacentral:rRNA from 1 species